UCCGGCUUAACGCCGGCGGUCUCUUUAGAGUGCCUAACUAAAUAAUGGCAACUAAAGACAAGGGUUGCGCUCGUUGCGGGACUUAACCCAACAUCUCACGACACGAGCUGACGACAGCCAUGCAGCACCUGUACAGAGACCCUUUCGAGCUACUGCAUCUCUGCAGUAUUCCUCUGUAUGUCAAACCCAGGUAAGGUUUUUCGCGUUGCAUCGAAUUGAACCACAUUCUCCACCGCUUGUGCGGGCCCCCGUCAAUUUCUUUGAGUUUUAAUCUUGCGACCGUACUCCCCAGGCGGGAUACUUACCGCGUUUGCUACGACACUGAAGGGGUCAAAACCUCCAACAUCAAGUAUCCAUCGUUUAUGGCGUGGACUAC
rnacentral:misc_RNA from 1 species